AGCAGCAGGCAAAGCCCCAGCCCCUCCCGGCCCUCGCUGUGUUCUAGGAGGCAGCUGGGAGGUUUAGGGGGAAGGCAGCUGCGGCACCUGUCGGGAGCCCAUCCUCAGGUGCUUCCUCUGGCUUGUCCUCGGAGUUCAUGCACACGCACCCCUGUGCUCCAGAAUCGCCAGACGGCAGGCCCGCUGCUUCCUCCUCCGGGGCUCCAGCUAGAACAGCUGCAGCGGGGGCUUUGCACUGGGGCCGGGAACCGCUGUGCUGCCCCUGUGUCCCCAGCAGGGAGGCAGCUGGCGGGACUCCAGCUGGGCUGCUGGCAUCCCUGGGACAGCUCAGGGCAGGCCUCUGACAAGUGAGUGUGAAACAGCCUUGGCCACCUGGCUGGCCUCGCUGGGAGCAGUCCUCCUGGCCGGUGGAGGGGACAGCUGCUGACACAGGAAGGAGAGGAGGUCCCAGGCGAGGCUUAGGAAAUCGCUGGAGCCAGCUCUAAGCAGAGAACUCACUGGGGAGGUUUGCAGAAAGACACCAUUGUUCUGCCUGUGUGAACGGCCAGGUGUGUCCAGUGGCCAGUCAUCGAGUGUCUAAAGCCAAGAGCCGUCCGAGGCUGCUGCUGCCCUUCCUCGGGCUCCGGGGAAAGGAGUUUCCUCUCUGCUCCCACUUGGCCCCACGAGUCAGGUGGGCUCGACGCCACGCGCACGGGGACUUUUCUGCCCCGUCCUUGAUGGACCAGCCGCGCUCCUGGCAACCUCCCCAUUUAACUUUCAGGGUGAUUUCCUCCUGACCAGACAUCGGUGAGGUCCCUUUAAGAAGGAAAAGUAUAAGCACCUACUAUGUGCCAGGCACUGUGUUAGGCACUUUUAAAUAUAUCCUCUUUCAGAUGAGACUAAGGAAUGGUGUGCCUUCGUAAAGGCCCCCAAGAAAUGGAUAAACAAAAAGUUGGAGAUGAGAAGGUCUUUUUUCAAAAAAACCAAGGCAAGAUUGUCUUCAGUCUGAGGUUUAUUCUUGAAGACCCAUCCCCUACAAUAUGCUUCCACCUCUAAAUCUCUUCUCUCUACCUUGUGAUGUGCUCCUUUGCACUCCUCAGAUGGUUGGAGGGGUCACCUGAGUCCUUAUAGAAUUUGUGGACCAAUAGGGUAUGUAUAACUUGCUUUUAAAAAAUGUAAGUAAAGGGGUCUUGCUACUUUCUGCUUGUUGAGUCUUUUUGGCAUUCAUCUUCACAGCCAGCAUCUCACUAUUUAUUAACAGGUUGGGGUAUGUGUGUGUGUGUGUGCACAUGUGUAUGUGAGUGUGUGUGUGCGUGUGUGUGUGUGUGUGUGUGUGUGUGUGCAUUUCCAGGUGUGCCCGUGUCCUCCUGCAGCUUUUCAAAAGGAAACCCAGUCACCCCACCACUCAUUUGACAUCUCCUCAUGCUUCUAGUGCUUUGGCCGGACAUCAACAAAGGGUUUUAAAUUUUCCAGUGCUGACAUGUUCAGGAGGGGCGGGGUCAAAUUUUGAGGAGGGUGUGGGGAGGGGAGGGGGAGAAGAAAAGGACGUUUAUUUUAUUAUUUAUUUUAAAUGUUUACAUCUUUGUGCUGUACCAAGCCUGAAUAGAAACAGAUAGCAUUAAAGUACUCCGUUCCUCUCUCCCUCUCUUUCUUCCUUAUUUUUUAAAUUAGGCUAAUGAUGCUUUUUUUGUUCCUGAAAUGAUUUGUGACUUUCGCUGUAUAAACUGUAUAAAAAGGUUCUGUUUUUUUAAAGAUGGAUUGUCACUCCUCUGGGGACAGUGGUCCCCAAGAAGUCUACAUCGUGAGAGAACAUAACAAAAGGUCCUGCCCUGUCCCCUAAAGACUGUUUCCUCUGUAUGAUUAAAGGUUUAUUCCAGCUA